GGGUUGUGAGGUUAAGCGACUAAGCGUACACGGUGGAUGCCCUGGCAGUCAGAGGCGAUGAAGGACGUGCUAAUCUGCGAUAAGCGUCGGUGAGGUGAUAUGAACCGUUAUAACCGGCGAUUUCCGAAUGGGGAAACCCAGUGUGUUUCGACACACUAUCAUUAACUGAAUCCAUAGGUUAAUGAGGCGAACCGGGGGAACUGAAACAUCUAAGUACCCCGAGGAAAAGAAAUCAACCGAGAUUCCCCCAGUAGCGGCGAGCGAACGGGGAGGAGCCCAGAGCCUGAAUCAGUGUGUGUGUUAGUGGAAGCGUCUGGAAAGGCGUGCGAUACAGGGUGACAGCCCCGUACACAAAAAUGCACAUAUUGUGAGCUCGAUGAGUAGGGCGGGACACGUGGUAUCCUGUCUGAAUAUGGGGGGACCAUCCUCCAAGGCUAAAUACUCCUGACUGACCGAUAGUGAACCAGUACCGUGAGGGAAAGGCGAAAAGAACCCCGGCGAGGGGAGUGAAAAAGAACCUGAAACCGUGUACGUACAAGCAGUGGGAGCCUCUUAAUGGGGUGACUGCGUACCUUUUGUAUAAUGGGUCAGCGACUUAUAUUCUGUAGCAAGGUUAACCGAAUAGGGGAGCCGAAGGGAAACCGAGUCUUAACUGGGCGUUAAGUUGCAGGGUAUAGACCCGAAACCCGGUGAUCUAGCCAUGGGCAGGUUGAAGGUUGGGUAACACUAACUGGAGGACCGAACCGACUAAUGUUGAAAAAUUAGCGGAUGACUUGUGGCUGGGGGUGAAAGGCCAAUCAAACCGGGAGAUAGCUGGUUCUCCCCGAAAGCUAUUUAGGUAGCGCCUCGUGAAUUCAUCUCCGGGGGUAGAGCACUGUUUCGGCAAGGGGGUCAUCCCGACUUACCAACCCGAUGCAAACUGCGAAUACCGGAGAAUGUUAUCACGGGAGACACACGGCGGGUGCUAACGUCCGUCGUGAAGAGGGAAACAACCCAGACCGCCAGCUAAGGUCCCAAAGUCAUGGUUAAGUGGGAAACGAUGUGGGAAGGCCCAGACAGCCAGGAUGUUGGCUUAGAAGCAGCCAUCAUUUAAAGAAAGCGUAAUAGCUCACUGGUCGAGUCGGCCUGCGCGGAAGAUGUAACGGGGCUAAACCAUGCACCGAAGCUGCGGCAGCGACACUAUGUGUUGUUGGGUAGGGGAGCGUUCUGUAAGCCUGUGAAGGUGGCCUGUGAGGGUUGCUGGAGGUAUCAGAAGUGCGAAUGCUGACAUAAGUAACGAUAAAGCGGGUGAAAAGCCCGCUCGCCGGAAGACCAAGGGUUCCUGUCCAACGUUAAUCGGGGCAGGGUGAGUCGACCCCUAAGGCGAGGCCGAAAGGCGUAGUCGAUGGGAAACAGGUUAAUAUUCCUGUACUUGGUGUUACUGCGAAGGGGGGACGGAGAAGGCUAUGUUGGCCGGGCGACGGUUGUCCCGGUUUAAGCGUGUAGGCUGGUUUUCCAGGCAAAUCCGGAAAACCAAGGCUGAGGCGUGAUGACGAGGCACUACGGUGCUGAAGUGACAAAUGCCCUGCUUCCAGGAAAAGCCUCUAAGCAUCAGGUAACAUCAAAUCGUACCCAAAACCGACACAGGUGGUCAGGUAGAGAAUACCAAGGCGCUUGAGAGAACUCGGGUGAAGGAACUAGGCAAAAUGGUGCCGUAACUUCGGGAGAAGGCACGCUGAUAUGUAGGUGAAGCGACUUGCUCGUGGAGCUGAAAUCAGUCGAAGAUACCAGCUGGCUGCAACUGUUUAUUAAAAACACAGCACUGUGCAAACACGAAAGUGGACGUAUACGGUGUGACGCCUGCCCGGUGCCGGAAGGUUAAUUGAUGGGGUUAGCGGUAACGCGAAGCUCUUGAUCGAAGCCCCGGUAAACGGCGGCCGUAACUAUAACGGUCCUAAGGUAGCGAAAUUCCUUGUCGGGUAAGUUCCGACCUGCACGAAUGGCGUAAUGAUGGCCAGGCUGUCUCCACCCGAGACUCAGUGAAAUUGAACUCGCUGUGAAGAUGCAGUGUACCCGCGGCAAGACGGAAAGACCCCGUGAACCUUUACUAUAGCUUGACACUGAACAUUGAGCCUUGAUGUGUAGGAUAGGUGGGAGGCUUUGAAGUGUGGACGCCAGUCUGCAUGGAGCCGACCUUGAAAUACCACCCUUUAAUGUUUGAUGUUCUAACGUUGGCCCGUAAUCCGGGUUGCGGACAGUGUCUGGUGGGUAGUUUGACUGGGGCGGUCUCCUCCUAAAGAGUAACGGAGGAGCACGAAGGUUGGCUAAUCCUGGUCGGACAUCAGGAGGUUAGUGCAAUGGCAUAAGCCAGCUUGACUGCGAGCGUGACGGCGCGAGCAGGUGCGAAAGCAGGUCAUAGUGAUCCGGUGGUUCUGAAUGGAAGGGCCAUCGCUCAACGGAUAAAAGGUACUCCGGGGAUAACAGGCUGAUACCGCCCAAGAGUUCAUAUCGACGGCGGUGUUUGGCACCUCGAUGUCGGCUCAUCACAUCCUGGGGCUGAAGUAGGUCCCAAGGGUAUGGCUGUUCGCCAUUUAAAGUGGUACGCGAGCUGGGUUUAGAACGUCGUGAGACAGUUCGGUCCCUAUCUGCCGUGGGCGCUGGAGAACUGAGGGGGGCUGCUCCUAGUACGAGAGGACCGGAGUGGACGCAUCACUGGUGUUCGGGUUGUCAUGCCAAUGGCACUGCCCGGUAGCUAAAUGCGGAAGAGAUAAGUGCUGAAAGCAUCUAAGCACGAAACUUGCCCCGAGAUGAGUUCUCCCUGACUCCUUGAGGGUCCUGAAGGAACGUUGAAGACGACGACGUUGAUAGGCCGGGUGUGUAAGCGCAGCGAUGCGUUGAGCUAACCGGUACUAAUGAACCGUGAGGCUUAACCUUACAACGCCGAAG
rnacentral:rRNA from 1 species